rnacentral:rRNA from 1 species
GAUCAUGGCGUCAGGAGUGAACGCUGGCGGCGUGCUUAACACAUGCGAGUCGAACGCUGAAGCUCCCAGCUUGCUGGGGUGGAUGAGUGGCAAACGGGUGAGUAUCACGUGAGUAACCUGCCCUUGACUCUGGGAUAAGCCCGGGAAACUGGGUCUAAUACUGGAUAGGACUGGCCAUCGCAUGGUGGUUGGUUGAAAGCUUUUGCGGUUUUGGAUGGACUCGCGGCCUAUCAGCUUGUUGGUGGGGUAAUGGCCUACCAAGGCUUUGACGGGUAGCCGGCCUGAGAGGGUGACCGGCCACACUGGGACUGAGACACGGCCCAGACUCCUACGGGAGGCAGCAGUGGGGGAUAUUGCACAAUGGGCGCAAGCCUGAUGCAGCGACGCCGCGUGAGGGAUGACGGCCUUCGGGUUGUAAACCUCUUUCAGUUGGGAAGAAGCCUUUCGGGGUGACGGUACCUUCAGAAGAAGCACCGGCUAACUACGUGCCAGCAGCAGC